rnacentral:lncRNA from 1 species
AGGCCUGAUCUUUUGGCCAGAAGGAGAUUAAAAAGAUGCCCCUCAAGAUGGCUGUGCCUGUCAGCUGCAUGGAGCUUCGUUCAAGUAUUUUCUGAGCCUGAUGGAUUUACAGUGAUCUUCAGUGGUCUGGGGAAUAACGCUGGUGGAACCAUGCACUGGAAUGACACACGCCCGGCACAUUUCAGGAUACUAAAAGUGGUUUUAAGGGAGGCUGUGGCUGAAUGCCUCAUGGAUUCUUACAGCUUGGAUGUCCAUGGGGGACGAAGGACUGCAGCUGGCUGAGAGGGUUGAGAUCUCUGUUUACUUAGAUCUCUGCCAACUUCCUUUGGGUCUCCCUAUGGAAUGUAAGACCCCGACUCUUCCUGGUGAAGCAUCUGAUGCACGUUCCAUCCGGCGCUCAGCUGGGCUUGAGCUGACCAUACUCCCUGGAGCCUUCUCCCGAGGUGCGCGGGUGACCUUGGCACAUACAGCCAUCAUGAUGGUACUUUAAGUGGAGGCUGAAUCAUCUCCCCUUUGAGCUGCUUGGCACGUGGCUCCCUUGGUGUUCCCCUUUUACUGCCAGGACACUGAGAUUUGGAGAGAAUCCUGUUACACCUGGGAUUUAGGCACUUUCAAUCUGAAAAAAUACAUAUCCUUUCAGCACUCUGGACGGACUUGAGAACUGUCCUUACGUGACCUAAAGCUGGAGUAUUUUGAGAUUGGAGAAUUAAGAGUGUGGGCACCCUGGCUUCAAGCUCACGAGAAACCAGGUCGGGAUUUAAACAAUGUUGGGUUAAAGCAAAGUUUCAUAAAGACAGAAUCAAGAAAAAAAGAAAGAGAAA